rnacentral:rRNA from 1 species
CCUACGGGAGGCAGCAGUGGGGAAUAUUGCACAAUGGGCGCAAGCCUGAUGCAGCCAUGCCGCGUGUGUGAAGAAGGCCUUCGGGUUGUAAAGCACUUUCAGCGGGGAGGAAGGCGUUAAGGUUAAUAACCUUGUCGAUUGACGUUACCCGCAGAAGAAGCACCGGCUAACUCCGUGCCAGCAGCCGCGGUAAUACGGAGGGUGCAAGCGUUAAUCGGAAUUACUGGGCGUAAAGCGCACGCAGGCGGUCUGUCAAGUCGGAUGUGAAAUCCCCGGGCUCAACCUGGGAACUGCAUUCGAAACUGGCAGGCUAGAGUCUUGUAGAGGGGGGUAGAAUUCCAGGUGUAGCGGUGAAAUGCGUAGAGGUCUGGAGGAAUACCGGUGGCGAAGGCGGCCCCCUGGACAAAGACUGACGCUCAGGUGCGAAAGCGUGGGGAGCAAACAGGAUUAGAUACCCCAGUAGUC